rnacentral:rRNA from 1 species
AGCGAACGCUGGCGGCAGGCCUAACACAUGCAAGUCGAACGAACUCUUCGGAGUUAGUGGCGGACGGGUGAGUAACACGUGGGAACGUGCCUUUAGGUUCGGAAUAACUCAGGGAAACUUGCGCUAAUACCGAAUGUGCCCUUCGGGGGAAAGAUUUAUCGCCUUUAGAGCGGCCCGCGUCUGAUUAGCUAGUUGGUGAGGUAAAGGCUCACCAAGGCGACGAUCAGUAGCUGGUCUGAGAGGAUGAUCAGCCACAUUGGGACUGAGACACGGCCCAAACUCCUACGGGAGGCAGCAGUGGGGAAUCUUGCGCAACGGGCGAAAGCCUGACGCAGCCAUGCCGCGUGAAUGAUGAAGGUCUUGGGAUUGUAAAAUUCUUUCACCGGGGACGAUAAUGACGGUACCCGGAGAAGAAGCCCCGGCUAACUUCGUGCCAGCCGCCGCCGUAA